rnacentral:rRNA from 1 species
UACGUAGGGUGCGAGCGUUGUCCGGAAUUACUGGGCGUAAAGAGCUCGUAGGUGGUUUGUCGCGUUGUCCGUGAAAACUCACAGCUCAACUGUGGGCGUGCGGGCGAUACGGGCAGACUGGAGUACUGCAGGGGAGACUGGAAUUCCUGGUGUAGCGGUGGAUUGCGCAGAUAUCAGGAGGAACACCGGUGGCGAAGGCGGGUCUCUGGGCAGUAACUGACGCUGAGGAGCGAAAGCGUGGGGAGCGAACAGG